rnacentral:rRNA from 1 species
CACAAGCGGUGGAGUAUGUGGUUUAAUUCGAUGCAACGCGAAGAACCUUACCUGGUCUUGACAUCCCGGAGACCCUUAGGAAACUAGGGGGUGCUUCCAUCUGGAAGAAUCUGGAGACAGGUGCUGCAUGGCUGUCGUCAGCUCGUGUCGUGAGAUGUUGGGUUAAGUCCCGCAACGAGCGCAACCCUUGCCUUUAGUUGCCAGCAGUUCGGCUGGGCACUCUAAAGGGACUGCCGGUGUUAAACCGGAGGAAGGUGGGGAUGACGUCAAGUCCUCAUGGCCUUUAUGACCAGGGCUACACACGUACCACAAUGGCCGAUACAAAGGGCAGCGACACUGCGAGGUGAAGCCAAUCCCGUAAAAUCGGUCUCAGUCCGGAUUGGAGUCUGCAACUCGACUCCAUGAAGUUGGAAUCGCUAGUAAUCGUGGAUCAGCAUGCCACGGUGAAUACGUUCCCGGGCCUU